rnacentral:rRNA from 1 species
CCUACGGGUGGCAGCAGUGAGGAAUAUUGGUCAAUGGACGCGAGUCUGAACCAGCCAAGUAGCGUGAAUGAUGACUGCCCUCUGGGUUGUAAACUUCUUUUAUAUGGGAAUAAAAUGUUCCACGUGUGGGAUUUUGUAUGUACCUUAUGAAUAAGGAUCGGCUAACUCCGUGCCAGCAGCCGCGGUAAUACGGAGGAUCCGAGCGUUAUCCGGAUUUAUUGGGUUUAAAGGGAGCGUAGGUGGUUUGUUAAGUCAGUUGUGAAAGUUUGCGGCUCAACCGUAAAAUUGCAGUUGAAACUGGCAGUCUUGAGUAUAGUAGAGGUGGGCGGAAUUCGUGGUGGAGCGGUGAAAUGCUUAGAUAUCACGAAGAACUCCGAUUGCGAAGGCAGUUCACUGGACUGCAACUGACACUGAGGCGCGAAAGUGUGGGUAUCAAACAGGAUUAGAUACCCCAGUAGUC